GGAGAGCCAUAGCUCAGUGACAGAGCAUCUGCUUUGCAUGCAGAAGGUCCCAAAUUCAAUCCCUGGCAUUUCCG
rnacentral:tRNA from 1 species